UACAGUGAUGAAUGGGGCCGGAUGAAGUCAUCCUGCUCCUCCAAUCAGGCUGCUCCGAGAGAGCCAGGGGCCUCUGCAGAUCCAGCCGAGCUGCGGGCUGCUCUCAUGUACCUUUAGACAGAGGCUGUGAGUCUCUGGGAGUGGAGUGGGGGGGUGUGAACCGCCCGCUCCUGGCUCCUGUGUAGGCCUCAGUCAGUCUGAAUGUUAUUGCAAGGCCAAGCAGAGAUCAUGGAGCCGGCUGAUAUGGCGACAGCAAAGCACUGCCAGUAACUCAAACCGCAGCACGCCGGCCUGCUCCCCCAUCCUCCGGAAACGGUCUCGCUCGCCAACCCCGCAGAGCCCGGACGGAGACACCAUGGUGGAGAAGGGCUCGGAUCACUCCUCCGACAAGUCCCCGUCCACGCCGGAGCAGGGUGUGCAGCGCAGCUGCUCAUCACAGUCUGGCCGGAGUGGCGGCAAAAAUUCCAAGAAAAGCCAGAGUUGGUAUAAUGUAAGUAUCCCUGUUUCUCUUCUUGUUGGGUACACGGGAAGCGGGUGGGGGAUGGGAAUGGUCGGGAAAUGGAGAGGCACCGAGUGCAGUUCGGCUGCCCCAUGGGCUUGAGCCAGUUGAGGGGCCCCUGGCCAGCCCCCACCCUCAAACUCACUGGUUAUCCUCUGCAGCAGGACAGGACUGCUGGUGAAGGAGGAGUUGAUUCAGGGAGACCAAGGAGGGCCAGCCCUCCUUAUCCUCCCCUAGACUCCUGGACAGGGCUCCUCCAGCCCCAGUGAAGGGGACUGGCUGGGGGAGGCAUCCAAAGACCAGAUGGAAUUCUGGGACUGGGUCAGCCCCGGGGCCUGAACUUAGGACCAAAGUUUCCUUCCUUUAGCUGACACAUUUUGGGGGCAAUGCAGCCAGAAGACUUUUCCCCGUUAGUAGAGAGGCCGUCCCAUGUAAUGGAAUUUGACUUCUGCCCCAAGACCCACCUGCACUGCCCUAAGGGACGUGUGCCUUCUAGAAGACAUCCACUACUCUUGGGUCUGUGGUGAAGGUGUAGCCUGGGGUCGUCCGUGGUGGUGGCUCAGCCAGCCGCUUCAUAGCCAGAAAUUGUGUUGUGGACUAAGCAGUCCCGUCCAAGACCACAACCCCCAUCACACAGACUGGGCUGCAGCGUUUUGAACUUUUCCUCUGGAGGGCAGCUGACCGAAGUCUCAGCCAGCCCCCACCACAUUGUACUCUGCCCUCUGGGACUGCACCGCGGAGGGCCUGGCCUCAGGUCCCCAUCGCUCUGCCCCGAGCCUGCAUUUCCCCACACUUGCGUCUGCUUGAUCAUGCAGGUACCACCCCUCUGCCUCCCCUGGCACCGGGCUGUACUCCAGCAGGUUUCGUGGGCAUGCGGAAAGUGGGGGAGAAGGUGGCU